GUGCUUUCUUAAGAAGGCAAGCAACGCUGAGGCUGCUGCCUGGCUCCCUGGCCACCUGCUACCAACCCGCCUUUCCGCGGGAUCUCCAGAAGCCCCCCAGCGAAGUGCUCCUCCCCUGCGCCCCGGUGGGGACUUCGGGAAGUACUGCUCUACGGCUCUCAACAAACACCCAGGGAGCCCUCACCUCUGAACCGAGCCCACGAGGAGGCUUCGUCAUCUCCAGGCCUUUCUACGCUCCAGGACACUUGGACCAACAAAAGAUAUUUUCUUCUCAGUCAUGCAUGCAAAUAUAUGGAAGAUCUUAGAAAAUUGUGGAAAGUGGGGCAUACUGAACAAAAUCACUGCCAUCAGAGAGAAUGAAGUGAUGCAAGAUCAGGAUGUGUCAGGAAGCCCAGGCGUGUGUCGCCACGUUGAUCUCUGUGUGAAAUAGGACGGACUCAGUACCUGCAGCUAGACAACGCUGGAGAAACUCCAAAGGACUGAGUGCCGCCCAGGCUUCAGGAGAGUAAGACAACAGACACUAUGCACUUUUCUAAUGUGGCCGGCACUCUGUGCUUGCAAUCACAUAUGUGCCACAGACAGGAUUUCUAUCAAACAAACAAGAAGAACAGAUGGAUGCCAAGCCCGUUGUCACUUUCCUGGUGCGUUUAACAGGAGCCAGGGGAGAAGUCCAGUUUGGGGCGUCUUGGGAAGUUUCCACAUCAUCCAUGAAAUUCUGUGGUGGACUUGUCACCCACACCAUGGGUGGGUUUGAUGGCUUGGUGGUCGGCAGUGCAAUGACCACAACCAUGUUGGCUUUUAUUACUCACAACACCGGGGAUCGUUCCCAGAGCAGUGCUUUUCUAAACACUGGAGAAAGCAGGGCUUGCAUUGGGCUGGGGAGCUGAGUCAUUGCAUGCAGAGGCGGAGUCAAGGCGAUCGUAGAUCAUGCUUCCACAUAUGUUGCAUGUAGAGAAAACAGCCUCCUCUCUGGCCAUGGAUUCUAGUAUGGUAACUAGGAGAGUUCCCCAGAGUUCAUCUCUGGAUCCAAUCAGUUUUUGUUUUACCAGAGAUGAGCUUUUUGCUGGAAAUUUUUGAAACAACAACUCAAGGUGCAACCGUUACUGGUGGGUACUUUUUUUUUUUUUUUUUUCUGAGACUGAGUCUCACUCUGUUGCCCAGGCUGGAGUGCAGUGGCUCGAUCUCAGCUCACUGAAACCUCUGCCUCCUGGGUUCAAGUGAUUCUCCUGCCUCAGCCUCCUGAGUAGCUGGGAUUAUCGGUGUGUGCCACCAUGCCUGGCUAAUUUUUCUAUUUUUAGUAGAGACAGGGUUUCUCCAUGUUGGGCAGGCUGGUCUAGAACUCCUGACCCCAGGUGAUCUGCCUGCCUCGGCCUCCCAAAGUGCUGGGAUUAUAGGCAUGAGCUACUGUGCCCGGCCACUAGUGGGUAGUUUUGCACUGUGUGUAACCCCAAACCUGGGACCCUGGGAUACAGACUGAUGACCAAGACAAAUCCAGUGAAGAAUUACGGAUCUUUGGACUCAUCUCCAACUGUUUCUGGGCUCAGCUGGCAUGAGAAAGGAGUCUCAGAAUGCCCAGCUCCACCAGAGGUGCCCAGCACCUCCCCUCACUCCACACUUAGGAAGCAAUGUCGUUUCCUGUGCCAGUCAGCUCUAAAUGAUUAUGUAAUUACAUUUGUGAAUGUAAUCCUGUGGGGCAUCAUUCUAAUUAUAGCCCACAAUCCUUUCUAGCAGUGUUCAGAGAAAUAAUAUGUGCGAUGAAGUGGGGCUGCUCUGUGUACUGCAAGAAUGUCCAGGAACCUGAGCACAUGCGGUCGCACCUGCCCCCUGGAAUCCACAUGCCCUUGGCUCUUUCUUAAAAAGCGGAUCAAAGGGUCCAGUCCAUGGCAGCCACUUCUCAGGGCAGGUGCAAUUCAGUGCAUGCUUUAAUUGCAGGUCCCCAAAGAACUUUGCAGACAUUCUUUUCUCGUUGUUCAUGAUGCAUUCUUUAAAGUAAUUUUGAGUGAAUUUUAUGGUAUGUAAAUUAUGCCUCAAUAAAUUUGUUAAAAAUAAA